rnacentral:rRNA from 1 species
UACGUAGGGUGCGAGCGUUGUCCGGAAUUACUGGGUGUAAAGGGUCCGUAGGCGGACGUGUAAGUCGAUGGUGAAAUCUCCUGGCUCAACCAGGAACAUGCUGUCGAUACUAUGCGUCUUGAGUUCGAGAGAGGAUAAUGGAAUUCAUGGUGUAGCGGUGAAAUGCGUAGAGAUCAUGAAGAACACCGGUAGCGAAGGCGGUUAUCUGGCUCGAUACUGACGCUCAGGGACGAAAGCGUGGGGAG